GUAUAGCCGGGUCUCUCCCGCGAGGCGCUGGCAAGCAUGAGGCAUGCAGCAUUCAAAAUGUUUGUUUGUUUGUUUGUUUUAACACAGACUUGGUGCUUUUUUCUUUUCUUUCUCUCUCUCUCUCUGUUUUCUUUUCUUUUCUCUUUCUUUCCUUCUUUCCUUCUUUCUUUCUUUCUUUCUUUCCUCUUUUCUUUUUCUUUCUUUCUUUUUUUUUUCUUUUUUGUUUUUACCAACACGCCAUUGUACUCACUCCUUAUUCCAAGACGGGCUGCGCGCUCCGAGCUGCACGGCGCCCUCGGCCUGCCUCCCGCUCGAGCCUCACCUGCACCCAUCACCCAGCGUCCUCCUGCCACCUCUUGCUCUAGCUGUCAUGCAUGCGUCUUCCAUGCCUUCCCGAAUCCAGUCCGGGUGUCAAGAGAGACCCCAGAUCUCUACAGCCCCUCCCCAGCACUUGGAGAACCCCAGCUUGGGCGACUCUAUCCAGACACCUUGGCUGCACUCUUGGCGACAAGAACUGAUUUGGAACAGAAGUGGCCUAGAAAGGGCAGGAGAUUGGAUGGUGCCUUCACUCAACAUGGAAGAACUUUAAAACUGCCGGCCCUCCCUCUCCAGCUUUGCCAGCAGGAACUCCCAGCUGACCUCCACCUUCUGCCCCCAGCACCUUGCACACAGUCAGUGUUUUCCCAGGGAUCUGAAGGACGCCACAGACACAGCCUUGGCUGUAAUGUGAACCUCUUAGGUCGUUUACAAGACUCUCCAACAUCAAUGAUGGUUUUUUUUUGUACUUGUUGUUCUAUUUCUGACUCUAGAAUAGUCCCAGCACCUGUUCUGUCUGAUGAAAUAAAGCAUCCAUCUUGCUCCAA